AUUGAACGCUGGCGGCAUGCCUUACACAUGCAAGUCGAACGGCAGCACGGGUGCUUGCACCUGGUGGCGAGUGGCGAACGGGUGAGUAAUACAUCGGAACGUACCUUAUCGUGGGGGAUAACGCAGCGAAAGCUGUGCUAAUACCGCAUACGCCCUGAGGGGGAAAGCGGGGGAUCGCAAGACCUCGCGCGAUUAGAGCGGCCGAUGCCUGAUUAGCUUGUUGGUGGGGUAAAAGCCCACCAAGGCGACGAUCAGUAGCUGGUCUGAGAGGACGAUCAGCCACACUAGGACUGAGACACGGCCCAGUCUCCUACGGGAAGCAGCAGUGGGGAAUUUUGGACAAUGGGGGCAACCCUGAUCCAGCAAUGCCGCGUGAGUGAAGAAGGCCUUCGGGUUGUAAAGCUCUUUUGUCAGGGAAGAAACACCGGCUCUAACACAGUCUGGGAAUGACGGUACCUGAAGAAUAAGCACCGGCUAACUACGUGCCAGCCGCCGCCGUAA
rnacentral:rRNA from 1 species